GUUGUGUCGUCUAUUUGUUGUUGUUGUAUGCGGAGCAUACUCACUUGGUGAAACCAGUGACGUUACCAGAUGAUCGAUACCUUCCAAGAGCGGCAAGGUGGAACAUCAAAGAAAUAUCUGUUGAGUUUCUAAAGGAUAUGGAGGCUUCGCAAUACACAUUCUCUAAAGAAUUUAAGGAUGAAUAUACUAUGUAUGAAAAAGAAAUGUUGAAUGAAAUUGCUCAAAGGCUUCCAGUUGAAGAAG